CCCGAGGAGAGCGAUCUCUAAUAAUAACAAUUAUUACUCCCCCACCCCACCUCUUUCAUUCACGUUUCGGACUCGCAGUAUAGAGGUUAAGGAUAGAAGAAAGAAGCUAAGAGUGGAAAAAGAAAAGCUAGCUUUCACGCGGAAUAUAUGCUCUUAGCGAAAAGUCCUGAUAACCAUAAUCUGAGACUAAAGGCCCUUUUCCUUUAAACGAUGAUAUAGCUGGUGUUGCGUCCGAGUCCUCAUUACGUUGUUCGUUCGGGGACAAGGGAAGAGUUGAGCACUGUGAUUUUCAAUUAUGUCGGAAAGUGGUUCUUCGGAUGAUGAUUUUCCACCAUCUAAUCGUCCACGAACCUCCGAAGAGGAUGGAUGGUGAAAGCACUUGUCCUCAGAAGGAUUAUGCCUGUACUGGACUCUACCAAAUGUGUGUGUAACUCAGCUUACCUAGUGUUAAAUGGGAGAUCAUCUUCUUCUAAUAAUCAAAAUUGUGAACUGAAAAAAUUUUUGGUGUUUUGCUUGAGAUAUCGAAGCAGAAGAUGCCUUUCAUUUUAUGGAUUUUUAUGGGACUAUAUAAAAACCAGAUGUUUUCUUUAAAAAGACGAUAUUGAUUUAUGAACAACUGAACAGUAGCCAUUAAAGUAUUUCAUAAAGAAAAAUUUAUGAAAAUCAAUUUGAGCUUAUUUGGUUUAGAAAAUUCUUUGAAAUGACAAGAUCAGUGCAGGAUGUCUGUUUAAACGCAUCCAGAUCGGAAAUCCUCAAUGAAAACCUUGAUAAUGUUAAAAAAGUAAGCACCAUGAGGAACAGACCAGUACAUACAUGCGACAAGCAACAAGAGAACUGUGGAUGCCUUUACGGUCUCAUCACAGAAUAACGAAUUCCAUUCGUUUCUUUAUAAAAUUGAACCUUGUUAUUCCAUGAAGGAAUGAGAUAUGGAGCUAAGAUUAGAGUUUGCAAACCAGGUAGUUGAAUAAUUAUAUAAUAAAUCCCUCGGAUAAGAAUCACGCAUCGUUUAGUGACCUUGCAUACAUCUAUCUGCAAGGUAUCAUCAAUAAGUAAAUUUAUUACUAUUGAGGUAAUAAAAAAUCACCUCUACAAUUCACUUUUCCCUGCAAACACAGAGGAUUACUUUUCGGUAUGUCAUUUAUGAACCUACUAUUAUAGGGAUCAUUUUCAUUGAAAAAAUUUUCAUUGAGCAGAGUUAGGGUAACUACUGACUUUGAACCUCAAGCUAGUCAUCUUCAAAUAGUACCAAUUUAUGUUAUGAAAACUGCAGCGCGUGAUAGUCUUAUUUCUGAAGUCUUUGAACAGCUUCAAGAAGUAUUUGAGACAGUGUAUAUCAUUGAUCUAAAUCAUAAAUUCCCAAAGUGGUCUGUAUGAACCCCAAGGGAUCUACUCCGAACUCAAAUGGGUCCAUGUCAACGAAAGAAUUAAUUGGGAGUGCAUAAGAUAUAAAGAAGGGUCCACAAGACUGGAUCCCAUUUAAGCAGGCUAUCACUAAAAUUUAAGGGUUCUUGUAAAUGUCAUAAUACACUUAACACAGAUUUUACCUAUGUACUUACAAUAAUACUUACAUAACUGGCAUAUAAAUAAAAUAUUAAUUAAGUAUGUUUCAUAAACUUGUGUAAGUAGGUACCUAUUCGCUUCGUGCUCCUAAAAACUUGCACAUUUGAUACCAGUUGCAACGCGUUGAGCCUAUAUAUGCAGUAGCAACGCUUGUCCAAAAUGUAUUAGAACUUUGCAAGAACGGAACAAACUUGUACCACUUGUGCUUGCACGAACUUAUUUAAUUCUUCAGUUAUAAAUAAGAGUAUCAGAGACAAAUACUGCAUUUGUUUUCUGAAUUUUAAGAAGAAAAAAGAUAAUCAAAUAUUUUCAAAAAUAUAAAUAGGCAGUUAGGUACAAAUAAGUUAAAGGGAAUCAAAGUCAUCUUUUAAGAACUUUGAGAGAAGUAAAUAAGUUUUUGUUUAAUAAAAUUUUUUAAUAAAAUAUAUUUUCGUAACUCCUCCGACUACGUAGAAACGGCAGUCAUGUUUGCAAUAUCGAAUAGUUUCCAAUAUUUAAAUUGGGAACGUCUAAAAAUAACAACAAAGGUAAUUCCGUGAAUUGCUUACAUUUUUUGGUGAACGACACAUCCAUCUUCAAAACCCAAUACAGUAUUUUGCAAUUUAACGUGUAUAACACAAUUUCAAAUCGAGUAAGUUGUUACGUUUUCUUUUGAACGGAUAAGACAUUUUGUGGUGGACGGAUUAAGACAUAAAGUGGGAUUUUUAAAUUUUUUAACAUUUUUGUAUGAGAUUAAUUUUGUAGAAUAACUUUAUUUAGUAAGUACUACAACUUGGUAAAAAUAAUGUCCCAACUUAAAAAGCACCCAAUAUACAACUCAAGAUUAAAUUAAGGUUUUGCAAUAGGAAUCAGUUUUGAAUUGCUAUGUUCUAUGUACAGAAAUAACUGCUACUAAACAUGAUCAAAUCUAAAAUGAAAUGUAGGCAGUAUAGUAUUGAUUACUUGGAGUUCGAUUUCAUUCCAUCAUUAUCGCACAAACACCUGCCCAUAUGCCUUUAAUGCAACAAAGUUUUAAGUAAUGAGUGUAUGAAAUCAUCCAAACUGGAGGAUCAUCUGAGAAGGCGUCACCCUGAUAAAGCAACUUAAGAUUUGAAAUACUUUCAAACACUGAAAGAUAAAAUUCAGAAGAGACUCACAGGGGACAGUGUGUUCGCUUCGAUGUCGAGAGAAAUGAUGACGGUUUCCAGGCGUCUUCGCUACUUAUUGCAAAAUCGGGAAAUCCGCUUACUAUAGAACACCUAAUUUUUACUGGCAUUGAAGAGGUUUUAAAAACCACGCAAACCUGCAUACGAUAUGCUCAAAGGAAUUCCUUACAAGUAUUAACAACGCAGUUCGUGUUGAUGAAACGAGUGAUGAUGUUGAAAGCUUCUUAUUUCUGCAAACGACCCAUUUCUCCAUACAGUUGGACGAGUCUACUUUACUUGGUAAGAAGCACUAUUAUUGGCAUGUAUUCGCUAAGUUAUGGACCAUGAAAUCCAUAAAGAACAUUUCUUCCCGAGAAUUUUAACAACAGGAACUAAAGGUAAAUCAAUAUUCAGUGUUCUGAGAGAUUAUUUCAUGGAGAAAGCAAUCUUUUACCAAAUAUAAUGUCAACAGCAAUAGAUGGAGCACCUGCCUUCUUUGACAGCUAUGGGGAUUUUAAAAGCCAUUUAAAACAAAAUGCAGCCCGGUAUUUUCAAUUUACUGUGGUCAUCCAACAUUUAGUUGCCAAGAAUGGUCGCAGAUUGCAGCAAUCUCUUUAAUUUGUCCUAAAAGCAGUAAAUAAACUGCGGCGCAACGCUUUGAAUUCUAGGUUAUUUGUGCAGCCGAGUAAAGGAAAUAAUGAGAACUUUCAUCAAUUAAGGCAAGUUUUUAUAAGAUUGACAAGAUUUUAUUUCCUACUUUUUGAGACUGUUUUAAGGGUUUGGGGAUGUUAAAGACCCCCAAUUUUAAGAACAGUUUUAUCAAAUAGAAAAUUAGACAUUGCUUUUUUUUUUUUACAGAUUUGUGUACUGAAUUUAAUGAGAUUAGCUUCCAGUUACAAGAAUGCAAUGUAAAUUUAAUAAAAACCAACUCCAUUAGCAGCUUUUCUUGCCAGAACUGUUGUUGCUGCUUAUGCUCACUUGUCUGACAUAGUCAGCCCAAGUUCACAAAAUUCCUCGUGGCAAGGAGGGCUAGAUUACGCCUGUCGUUGACAACAGUCAUGAGCACCUAACAGAUGACAGUGCGAUUUGGCCCAGUUCCGUCCCCAAUUUUGAUGGAGAGUACCCCUGGGGAGACGGAUCCGAGGGACUCCUACCCCUCUCUUCCUUCCACCAAACCACAUCCAUCUUCAAAACACGAGAGUACUUCGGCUUGCCGCAUAUUUAGAAAGCCGCACCGACAGGCCGCACCGACACUAUACAUUUACAAACGUCCAUGCCUUCUCCGGGAUCACGGCAGUCAGCGAUGCUAACCACUUUACCGGUUGGGUGGUUCUUGCCAGAAUUAACCUAAUGAAUCAAAACAUUGGAUGGUGGAAAUUUUCCCAGUUUCCCAAUUUGUCACAGACAAAAUGCCAAGAUGAUGACGUUUCAUCUACUUUCAGUAUUUUAAUGCACUUCCUACAGAGUUUAAAAUCAGCUUUGAGGAUGUUUUGGCUAUAGAAAUACCACACUGAAUUAACAAUCCAUACAUUAAAGAAUUUGGACGCCGUAUUAACAGUCUAGUCUAGGAUCUCGUAGUCUUAACAGUCUAGGAUGUCGUAGUCAGAAGAACUGACUGGAAUAAGCACUAAAGAAGUACUUAAGGUGCAGUUUAAGAAGGGUUAUCAGAAAUUAUGUUUUCAGAGAGGCAUACCUGUGACUUUUCUUGCGUUAUGGACUAUCACAAGAAAGAGUUUGAUAGCCUUUCCCAUUUUCACACCUCGUGGAAAGGAAUGUUAGCAGCGCGCUUGUCAAUCUCCUUACCCAAAAAGUUUAGAAAUCACUUGUCGAGAAGAUUUAAGGUUAAGCCUGACUAAUUGGAAGCCAAAUAUUAAAAAUUUUCUAUUAAAGCGUAAGGCUCAUCCCUUCCUUUAAAAGCACUGAUUCUUUUGUGUACUUAUUUUAUGUAAGAAUGUUACUAGAUUUGCAUUUUGUGCCGUUUUGAUUAAUAAAGUUAUAUGAAUAAAAAUGUUAAUUUUUUUUUUAUUUUAAAGUUUCCCCCUCUGCAGUAAACCCUAUCAAAGUGAAAAGCUCUGUGUCAGCUGUCAAAAAACACGUCUGAAGUUGAUGAAUUUUUAAAAAUUUAGUAUUAGCCUAGAAUUGGCAAACCACUUAGCCAGCAUAAAAUUUCACCUCACCACUGUCCCUUUCAAGUAAAUGUUUACCCUAUUAGGUAAAUUUCGCCUUUGUAACGUGACUUUUCUAUACAUUUUGCUUUCACCGAAGUGUUUUGAAACCCUCGAGUACAAAUAUUACACUGCCCGACUGGUUUGGGAACGACCCCUAGAAAGGGGAAAGGGGUCCACAAAAACAUAAAAAGGUUGGCAAGUGGUCUACGGUACAAAAAAGUUUGUAGACCUCUGAUCUAAGUAUUCACAAGUUUAUUGGAAGCGUUGUGAGCGGAUUGCCUUACGACCCUAACUUUACAAGGUAUUUCUCCCGCUUUCCAGCGUGCCUUCGUGGUGUAACGGUAGCACGCUGGGCCGGUAUUCCAGAGGUCGGUGUUUCGAUUCCCGGCGAAGGCGGUUACUAAUUUUUCAUCUC